GGGCUGGGGUGUGUGCUACAGAUUGUGUUGCUUUUGUCUCGCUUCUGUAACUUUGCUUGCCCUCCCCUCUUCCCCUCAGUUUCUCACUGCUGGAAAGACCGCACUGCUUGAUGGAAUGCAUAAAGCUUGAGUCUUUCCUUUACUUGCACUUGACCUUUGAACAUUAGUCUGCUGUGUCAGUGUACACCUAAAAUCGUGGAUGAAAUCCUCCUGCCUCAGCCGUUGGUCUGUCCUGUCUCUUCAAAUCCUGCAACAACCCAACAAACUCCUGGCUGCCCAUAUACAACAAACCCUGUUCCAUAAAAUAAGCACACUGCCAGCAGGUGGGAGCCACAGG
rnacentral:lncRNA from 1 species